rnacentral:rRNA from 2 species
AUGCUAUACUGCAGUCGAGCGGACAGAAGGGAGCUUGCUCCCGGAUGUUAGCGGCGGACGGGUGAGUAACACGUGGGUAACCUGCCUGUAAGACUGGGAUAACUCCGGGAAACCGGAGCUAAUACCGGAUAGUUCCUUGAACCGCAUGGUUCAAGGAUGAAAGACGGUUUCGGCUGUCACUUACAGAUGGACCCGCGGCGCAUUAGCUAGUUGGUGGGGUAAUGGCUCACCAAGGCGACGAUGCGUAGCCGACCUGAGAGGGUGAUCGGCCACACUGGGACUGAGACACGGCCCAGACUCCUACGGGAGGCAGCAGUAGGGAAUCUUCCGCAAUGGACGAAAGUCUGACGGAGCAACGCCGCGUGAGUGAUGAAGGUUUUCGGAUCGUAAAGCUCUGUUGUUAGGGAAGAACAAGUGCGAGAGUAACUGCUCGCACCUUGACGGUACCUAACCAGAAAGCCACGGCUAACUACGUGCCAGCAGCCGCGGUAAUACGUAGGUGGCAAGCGUUGUCCGGAAUUAUUGGGCGUAAAGGGCUCGCAGGCGGUUUCUUAAGUCUGAUGUGAAAGCCCCCGGCUCAACCGGGGAGGGUCAUUGGAAACUGGGAAACUUGAGUGCAGAAGAGGAGAGUGGAAUUCCACGUGUAGCGGUGAAAUGCGUAGAGAUGUGGAGGAACACCAGUGGCGAAGGCGACUCUCUGGUCUGUAACUGACGCUGAGGAGCGAAAGCGUGGGGAGCGAACAGGAUUAGAUACCCUGGUAGUCCACGCCGUAAACGAUGAGUGCUAAGUGUUAGGGGGUUUCCGCCCCUUAGUGCUGCAGCUAACGCAUUAAGCACUCCGCCUGGGGAGUACGGUCGCAAGACUGAAACUCAAAGGAAUUGACGGGGGC